rnacentral:tRNA from 1 species
AGUGAAGUGCCUGAUUAAAGGGCUAUCUUGAUAGGAUAAAUAAUGUAUAUUUUGUACCUUCAUUG